CCACACCCAACACAACCCAAUCCCCUCGUCCCGCACGCCGUGCACACUCUGGUCCCCUCGUCCCGCACGAACCCUAGGAGAGAGAGAUAGGAAGAUGUGAGGGAGAGAAAGGGGAGAGGAGACGAGAGGGAGGUCCGGCAGCGGACGGGAGAGGGUGACCGGCCGGCGUCGGCCUACACCGGCGAGGCGUCGGCCUGCGCCCCUCCUCGCUCACGAACCCUAGCUGAGAGACAAAAUGAGGGGGAGAGAGAGAAGGAAGGAGAGGAGGGAGAAAGAGAGGGGAAAGAGGAAAGGGAGGUGCGGCGGCUGACAGGAGAGAGGGUCAUCGGCCGACGCCGGAGAGGACGGGCCCGACCUGGACGCGACCUGGAGGUUGGCGGCGGCUCGAUCCUAGCCCCUUUCCCCGAUCCCCACAGCAGCCGCCUCCUCUCCUCGCUCGCAACCGCCUCCUCUCCUCUCCCCCACGCCGCCGGCCUUGUCUCUUCGCUCGUCUCCUCCUCUCUUCCAUGUCUCCAUGGUUCCAGAUUGGGAACUGGUCGCCGUCGUGCGAGAGCAGGGCAACGGGUCUUCGCGGAGGAGUGGAGGGGGAGGAUGCGGACGACAGGGCGAAGGAGGUGGCUGGCGAGGAGGACAAGCAGCAGGGGAGGGGGAGAAGGGUGACGCCUCGCACACCGUCUCCUCCCCGCGGCGGUUGGCCGGUCGACUCGUCGCACCACCGCGUCCUCACCUCCUCUGCGCCAUGAGAGGCGCCGCCUCUGCUUCCACCCCCGCUUCCUGCUUCCUUCCUCCUUGGCACCACAGCUGCCGCUCUCCUCCCUCCCUUGUCAGCCACCGGCUCACGAACCUCCCUCGUUUGGGCCAGGGCAGAAGGCCAUGGCGAAUCUUGCGCCUCUGGAAGAAGCAGCAGGGUUGGUGGAGGGUCGAAUACGGGCGGGGUCAACGGUUGAGGGAGGGUCGCCCACCAAAGCAGCAGGAGAAAGACCUUGAGGUGGUUCAGAUUUGCCUCUACAUCCUUUUUCUCUUUCCCUAGGUUUUGAUCUCCUGUACAUAUUUUGGCCACCAGAGUUCUAUCCGCUCUUUGUCAAUUUCAGUGAAGCUGCAUCAUCCAACAUAGCGAGAUGAAGUACUCAGAAAAAAUUGCAGCAAGUGCGAUUGAUAGUCAAGGAAUUGAUUUGAUUCUGAAUAUUCCGUUCUUCAGGUGAUGGGCUGCUGACAUUUAUUGUGCACUUGUGCUGAUUUUGACUGACUUCCGCUUAAUUUGAUACCUACUGUAUAAGUAAUGACACUAAUAUAAUAGAUAUCAAAUUAAUGGAUUUGCUAACAGAUUGCCUCUUGUGAUGUUGAUUGAUUUGCAGGCUUACUGGUUUUGGUUCAGUUUGAAGGGCUCUUCGGGCUUAAGAUCGUGGUUUCAUUAGAAUUACAUAAUUUCUUUGCUCGGUACUCUUGCCGGUGGUGGUAGGCUUUACUUUGUGAUAUAGGUUCUGCUGUCGGUGACACCUCAUGAAUUUUCUGUUAGAUUUAGCAGCCAUACAUACUGAAAUGGGACACCUUUGGACAUUCCCUUGCUAUUUCAACAGUCUAAUUACUCCAUGUAAAAACUGCAUCCAUUUUGGUAUGUGAUACUGCGAGUGUAAAUUUAGAACUGGACCUUACAGUCUAGCUUCAUUGUCUGUUCAUCAUGGUUAUCUACAUACUGCAUAAAAAUGGAGUAUCCUUAUGCUCAUGUGAGCUUGCUAUUGUGGCUUGCAUGUCCGUUAAAAUGGAGAGUUCUUUACCUAAGAUCCUGGUCUUUGUUGUUUCUUACAUGGGAUUUUGAUCUUAGCCUGCCACCAAUGUCAAUUAUAUUUACUGAAAGACGUUAGGCUUGCUAAUUUAUUUAAUGACAGUAGAGAUCACAUGCCUACUGUCAAUGGCAAAGCUUUGUCGGCAUUAUGAUAAUCUAAAAGACCCCUCUGCAGUUUCUGUUAUUGUUUCAGUUUAAAGUAAGCAAUCAGCAUCCAACAACCUUUCUUCAGUAUGAACAUAGAUGAUGUAUUGUUGCAGCUUAGGGUAUCCUAUUGACAUACUUUUGAACUGAACAACUUCCAGAUGUGGCUUCUCAACUACUCCCUCGUUCCUAUAUAUUUGUCUUUUUAGAGAUUUCAAAUAGACUACCACAUACGGAUGUAUAUAGACAUAUUUUAGAGUGUAGAUUCACUCAUUUUGCUUCGUAUGUAGUCACUUGUUGAGAUCUCUAGAAAGACAAAUUUUUAGGAACGUAGGGAGUAGGCUACAACAACAUCAACUCUUUGUACCUAGAUGUCAUGGCCUCGAGCUAAGCAGUAUAAAAAUAGUAGAUAGACAUGUGCUUAUUAUCAUGUACAGUUGGAGAAAAUGCAAAUAACUAUGCUUGAAUACAAGUCCUUCUGGUAAAUCUGGCCACUGGUGACAUUGGACAUGUCUUAAUGUAUUUAUUUUCUCAGAUUGUGAGGUAGAUUGAGAAGCCUGUUUGUCAUCCCAUUUGUCGUUCAUUUACAUAACAUGUCGGUUUUAUUGUCGGAUUCGUCGGACCAAUGAUUUUGCCAUUCGGAAGCUCAUGCUUACGUUAAGUUGUAUGGCUACAAUUUUCUCUGUAUAUACACACAUACACUUCCCUCCUGAGAUAAUUAUAAUCAUUUGUUCCUGGUAGUCUCAUUGUACUUGUUCACUUGUUCUCUGUUUUUUUCUUCUCUUGUUGCUUUAUUGUGUAUUCUGCCCAUGUGCUGCAGUGCUCAUUUUUGUCUUUCCCUAUUGUUUAUUGUCUCAGGAUGACGACGCUUGAUUUCAGCCUCGAGGAACUAGAUGUUGAACAUUUGCAUUGCAAAACUGCAGGCUUUUCUUUUUAUGGGUCCCAAGAGCUUGGCUUAGGUUUCUUCUUUGCAAAUAAAAAUUCCCUCUUUUACAAACCAAGGACACUCUUGCAUUGUCUGAAGAGCUUGCUGAGUUUGAGGUAUUGUUUCCGCCAGCCAGCCCAUCAGCCUAGCUGGAUGUCGUUCUGAAUGUCAGAUGAGGGUACUCUUCUCGGUUAACAACAUUAGAUUACACCGUCUGUGUUCAGAGCGAAGUGUUUGUGAUGACUCAAGGGGGGAACUUCCCUCACUUUUUGAUGGGACACAGGCGUUACCUGUUAGGAGGGAAUGCAAAGACAAUAAAACCCAACAAACGGAAGCUGGUCUUAUCUUUUGACGACCCAAAUAUCAGAUGGAGUCGAUUCAAGCACCACAUGCUGGAAAUACUGCACCAUAGUGACAUAAGGGGCAUCACAUUCAGCAAACCUAAUGAUUCCAUAUACACCUUCCCAAUGCCUGAUUGCAUGUGCCAGCAAGAUGGAAUAUGAUCUAGGCGUUAGCAUACAUAACUGAGGGAUGCAUUUCCUCUGCCUUUGUGCAACAAAGGCACCAAAGGCACGGCAUUGUUGACUGCAUGAUCAGGAUUUGAUGGUCAUGAUGAAAACUGGAGUGAAAUAAAGCAUUUGGUGCUUCUCAGGAGAUUCUGAAACCCUCUGGCAUACCCCAAACCGUUUGAUUCUGGAUAUAAUGGUCAAAAGGUGCCUAAUGACAAUGAAUUCCAUAGGAUCAGAAAUUGAGAGGAUGCGAGGGAUUUUGUAAAGUUAGUAAUCUAUAGGUAGUCCACCAUAUAGCAAUUUUCAUUUGUUCAAUCUGUCUGUAGGUUGUAAAGAGAAAAGAGCUACGAGAUUGGGUUGUAAAUAUGAGUACAACCUAAGUGCCUCGAUGUAUAUUCGAAAAACAAGGGCUAACAACAACAAAGAAAGGAAAUUUUUAGUAUAUCAUUACUCAUCA